UACGAAGGGGGCUAGCGUUGCUCGGAAUCACUGGGCGUAAAGCGCACGUAGGCGGCUUUCUAAGUCAGGGGUGAAAUCCUGGAGCUCAACUCCAGAACUGCCUUUGAUACUGGAGAGCUUGAGUCCGGGAGAGGUGAGUGGAACUCCGAGUGUAGAGGUGAAAUUCGUAGAUAUUCGGAAGAACACCAGUGGCGAAGGCGGCUCACUGGUCCGGUACUGACGCUGAGGUGCGAAAGCGUGGGGAGCAAACAGGG
rnacentral:rRNA from 1 species